GCGUUGAAAAGCUCGGGGAUGACUUGUGGGUAGCGGUGAAAUUCCAAUCGAGCCCGGAGAUAGCUGGUUCUCCCCGAAAUAGCUUUAGGGCUAGCCUCAAGGUGAGAGAUACGGAGGUAGAGCACUGAAUGUCCUAGGGGGUAUUGCACCUACCGAAGACUAUCAAACUCCGAAUGCCGUCAUCUUAUACUUGGGAGUCAGACUGUGGGUGAUAAGAUUCAUAGUCGAAAGGGCAACAGCCCAGAUCGUCAGCUAAGGUCCCUAAAUGUAAGUUAAGUGGUAAAGGAUGUGGGAUUGCACAGACAACCAGGAUGUUGGCUUAGAAGCAGCCACUCAUUCAAAGAGUGCGUAAUAGCUCACUGGUCGAGUGAUCCUGCGCCGAAGAUUUCCGGGGCUAAAACUUACUACCGAAGCUACGGCAUCAGCAAUGAUGGGUAGGGGAGCUUCCCAUACGGGUUGAAG
rnacentral:rRNA from 1 species